UACGGAAGGGGCAAGCGUUGUUCGGAAUCAUUGGGCGUAAAGAGCUCGUAGGCGGCUUAGUAAGUCGGGUGUGAAACCCCCAGGCUCAACCUGGGGACGCCACCCGAUACUGCUAUAGCUAGAGUCCAGUAGGGGAGUGCGGAAUUCCCGGUGUAGCGGUGAAAUGCGCAGAUAUCGGGAGGAACACCGGUGGCGAAGGCGGUUCUCUGGGCCUUACCUGACGCUGAGGAGCGAAAGCGUGGGGAGCGAACAGG
rnacentral:rRNA from 1 species